rnacentral:misc_RNA from 1 species
CUGAGUGAGGGCCCUCUGGGUCCAACCUCCCACCCGUGUUUAUUGUACCUUGUUGCUUCGGCGGGCCCGCCGUCAGGCCGCCGGGGGGCGUCUCGCCCCCGGGCCCGCGCCCGCCGAAGACACCAUCGAACGCUGUCUGAAGGUUGCCGUCUGAGUCGAUUAUCAAAUCGUUA